AUAAUGUUUCUUUAGUUCUUUACAUGUAUAAAAUUCUGAGGAUGUUAUAUAUAUGACAUCCUCAGGAUUUUAUACAUGUAAAGAAUUAAACAUACAUUAUA
rnacentral:pre_miRNA from 1 species